GACGAACGCUGGCGGCAUGCCUAACACAUGCAAGUCGAACGGAGAAUCGCUUCGGUCAUGGAUCAGUGGCGGACGGGUGAGUAACGCGUGAAUAACCUGCCUGUAUGUGGGGGAUAACAACCGGAAACAGUUGCUAAUACCGCAUAACGUAUAGAGAUCGCAUGUUUUCUAUACCAAAGAUUUAUUGCAUACAGAUGGAUUCGCGUCCGAUUAGAUAGUUGGUGAGGUAACGGCCCACCAAGUCGACGAUCGGUAGCCGGACUGAGAGGUUGAACGGCCACAUUGGAACUGAGAAACGGUCCAGACUCCUACGGGAGGCAGCAGUGGGGAAUAUUGGGCAAUGGGCGAAAGCCUGACCCAGCGACGCCGCGUGAGGGAAGAAGGUCUUCGGGAUUGUAAACCUUAGUCAACAGGGAAGAAGCAAGUGACGGUACCUGUGGAGGAAGCCACCGGCUAACCUACGGUG
rnacentral:rRNA from 1 species